ACGCUGGCGGCGUGCUUAACACAUGCAAGUCGAACGCUGAAGCUCAGCUUUUGUUGGGUGGAUGAGUGGCGAACGGGUGAGUAACACGUGAGUAACCUGCCCUCUUCUUUGGGAUAACGCCCGGAAACGGGUGCUAAUACUGGAUAUUCACUGGCCUUCGCAUGGGGGUUGGUGGAAAGGUUUGUUCUGGUGGGGGAUGGGCUCGCGGCCUAUCAGCUUGUUGGUGGGGUGAUGGCCUACCAAGGCUUUGACGGGUAGCCGGCCUGAGAGGGUGACCGGUCACAUUGGGACUGAGAUACGGCCCAGACUCCUACGGGAGGCAGCAGUGGGGAAUAUUGCACAAUGGGCGAAAGCCUGAUGCAGCGACGCCGCGUGAGGGAUGGAGGCCUUCGGGUUGUAAACCUCUUUCGCUCAUGGUCAAGCCGCAACUGUGGGUUGUGGUGAGGGUAGUGGGUAAAGAAGCGCCGGCUAACUACGUGCCAGCAGCCGCGGUAAUACGUAGGGCGCGAGCGUUGUCCGGAAUUAUUGGGCGUAAAGGGCUUGUAGGCGGUUGGUCGCGUCUGCCGUGAAAUUCUCUGGCUUAACUGGGGGCGUGCGGUGGGUACGGGCUGACUUGAGUGCGGUAGGGGAGACUGGAACUCCUGGUGUAGCGGUGGAAUGCGCAGAUAUCAGGAAGAACGCCGGUGGCGAAGGCGGGUCUCUGGGCCGUUACUGACGCUGAGGAGCGAAAGCGUGGGGAGCGAACAGGAUUAGAUACCCUGGUAGUCCACGCUGUAAACGUUGGGCACUAGGUGUGGGGGCCACCCGUGGUUUCUGCGCCGUAGCUAACGCUUUAAGUGCCCCGCCUGGGGAGUACGGCCGCAAGGCUAAAACUCAAAGGAAUUGACGGGGGCCCGCACAAGCGGCGGAG
rnacentral:rRNA from 1 species